AAAAUCCUUUUUAGAAACUAGAAAUUAAAAGAGAAAUAAUGCAAUUGGUCUCAUAUUUUUUGGAAUUAAAAUGAACUAGUUAUGAUUUUUUGAAAUGAAAUAAAAUAAAAGAAAAUAAAAGGAAAUUAAAUCAGAAAUUGAAAAAUGCUAAAAUAUGUGGCACGUUGGAUCCAAUCUCAUUAAUUGAGCUGACACAUCCAAGGGUUGUGGUAUGCGCGCG
rnacentral:lncRNA from 1 species